GACGAACGCUGGCGGCGUGCUUAACACAUGCAAGUCGAACGGAAAGGCUCUGCUUUUGUGGGGUGCUUGAGUGGCGAACGGGUGAGUAACACGUGAGUCACCUGCCCUUGACUUUGGGAUAACUUCAGGAAACUGGGGCUCAUACCGGAUAGGAGCUCCUGCUGCUUGGUGGGGGUUGGAAAGCUUCGGCGGUUGGGGAUGGACUCGCGGGUUAUCAGCUUGUUGGUGGGGUAGUGGCUUACCAGGGCUUUGACGGGUAGCCGGCCUGAGAGGGUGACCGGCCACAGUGGGACUAGGAUACGGCCCAGACUCCUACGUGAGGCAGCAGUAGGGAAUAUUACACAAUGGGCGGAAGCCUGAUGCAGCAACGCCGCGUGCGGGAUGACGGCCUUCGGGUUGUAAACCGCUUUCGCCUGUGACGAAGCGUGAGUGACGGUAAUGGGUAAAGAAGCACCGGCGAACUACAUG
rnacentral:rRNA from 1 species